GGGGAAUAUUGGACAAUGGGGGCAACCCUGAUCCAGCAAUGCCGCGUGUGUGAAGAAGGUCUUCGGAUUGUAAAGCACUUUCGACGGGGACGAUGAUGACGGUACCCGUAGAAGAAGCCCCGGCUAACUUCGUGCCAGCAGCCGCGGUAAUACGAAGGGGGCUAGCGUUGCUCGGAAUGACUGGGCGUAAAGGGCGUGUAGGCGGUUUACACAGUCAGAUGUGAAAUCCCCGGGCUUAACCUGGGAGCUGCAUUUGAUACGUGUAGACUAGAGUGUGAGAGAGGGUUGUGGAAUUCCCAGUGUAGAGGUGAAAUUCGUAGAUAUUGGGAAGAACACCGGUGGCGAAGGCGGCAACCUGGCUCAUGACUGACGCUGAGGCGCGAAAGCGUGGGGAGCAAACAGGAUUAGAUACCCUGGUAGUCCACGCUGUAAACGAUGUGUGCUAGAUGUUGGGUAACUUUGUUAUUCAGUGUCGCAGUUAACGC
rnacentral:rRNA from 1 species